CAGUGACGAAAGCGUGGGACUAUCUAAUAGAUAGAAAGCCUUAAUAUUUCCUAUUUUUUAUCCUUUGAAUAACUUUUCAACCGAUCAAACUAAUAUUUGUCUUAGGUUUCUAUAGUUUGACUUUUUUUGAUCGACCAUCGAAAAUGACUGUUCAGUUUGUGACAUUCUUAUAUUCGCGUCUGUUAACAAGUGUCGGUCACGAUGGAAAAUGCUAAGAGACAUCGCAACAGGAGAAACAACAAAGAUUUUGGUCCAAAGAGAACCUCCUAGACAGUGACAGUUCUGCCAUUUUAGUUCACAG